AGGAUUUUCAACCCUCAUAUUUGUGAUUUUUAAUUUUGAUAGACAUAUUAAAUUUUGUACCUUAAAGUCAAUUUUAAGUCGACAUUCUUUGUAUAUGAAGUUGUUAAGAGGACAGAUCCAGGAUUUUCACACAUUCCUGAUGCAUUGUACCGAUAUCUGAUAGACAUAUACAUGUAAAACAUUUAACCAAAGUAUUAUGUGUCGGGAAAUAAAUAAUUAUGAUCCAUUUAUAAAGGAGGAGCUUCCAAAGGCAGCUGGAGAUUGGUUUAGAACAGUUCAUGGAGACUCCAUCUUUGUUGUUAAAAACACAUAUUCGCUGUCUUCGACAUUUAUAAAAUACUGAUCAUUGGAUGAAAUGUGGAUAUUGAUUGUAAAUUUACAAUUAUGUAUGUAAAUUUUUGGAUUGCUUGAUUCAGUUCAUGUUCAAUUAUGUGAUAUGUGAUUUCGAGAAGUGAAUAUGUAAAUUUGGGAUCAUAUCGUGGUAUAUUUCAACAAUACAUGUUACCAAAGAUAAGAUUUAAUUUGUAUAUGGUAGAAGAUCUACACCAGAACUAUUUGUAUAUAUUUGCUGUGGAUUUUGUUUUUUCUUUCUUUUUUGAGGUUUCAUAUACUUAAACAUUUCCAUUGUUGUGGUCUUUUUUGUGUACUGUGUAUGAUGCAGAUAUUUUAUAUAUUAUUUAUGGUUUUUGAUUUUGUUAUGCGUAGUUUUUUUUUCUCUCAUAUGUCAUUGAUAAUCCGUGUAGUUUUCAGUGUCUCUGUAAAAGGUGAAGCAAGUUAUUGUGAUCCUGAAAAAAGUGUCCUUAUGUGCCAAACAAGAUGUACAUUUUCAUUAUCAAAUCUGCAUGCUAUUGUGUUGUGAUUCAUAAACAUUAAAAGGUGUACAAG
rnacentral:misc_RNA from 1 species